AAUUGUGCUUUGGACAAUUGUUCAGUUGGUAUAUAAGUGCUAAGUACGAGUGUUUGUUUUCAUUUGGGAUUUGGUGGUUUAAGUUUUUAGAAUGCAGAACUUUUUGAUACUUUGUCUAGCGGCAUGCUUUUGUGUAGCAGUUUCUUCAGGCAUCGACUUUUUGCAUCAUGAUUUUGAUGUCCAAAUUCAUCCAACACAUGGACAUGGCCAUUAUGGUCAUGGCGACCAUGGAUUUGCAACUAGCAUAAGAUACGACGAAAGAUACCACCACAAAUUACCCGUAUAUUCUCAUCUUGAUGAUUCAGUAUAUCAUUACAUCUUGGACGGUCACCAUAAUGAUGAUAUUCAUCUUUAUUGAAAUCAUAAAGAAUAAAGCUGAUUCCUUGUCAAAGAACUGCCAAACAUCCGGAUAAAUCAGGGAUUUCCCAGAAGCUUUAUGUUCUGUGUUUAGUUGUGCCGUUAAUUGUUUUAAUUUAAGAAAUGUAAAUAAAUUAUUUUCGAAAA